GGCUGCUGGGGGCUCUUGCACGGCCAGCAGCUGGUGCGCGCCGCUCCGGGCACGCCGCUUGCACGGCUGCUGCGCACCCCCGGCACAGGCAGCUUGCACAGCCCAGAGGCCAUUUUGGGAGCAGCCGCCAGCCCUGCACAGGACGGGGCUGUGGAGCAGCCAGGGAGGACCCCGGGGUCCCGGUCCCUCGCCCAGCAGCCCCACGGGGCCCCCACAUCCCACCCGGCCCCGUGCAAAGCUCCGCACCCUCAAAGCGCCUUCAGCCCUCGCCCCGUGCACGCACGGGGGUCCCCGUGCACACAGCAGGAGGGGAAGGGAGCAAACCCCGAGGGGCUGGGGUGCUGUGCCCCUCAGGCUCUCCCCCCCAGCACCAGGACACCCCUGUGCCCACCGUGGGGACCCCGUUGGGGGCCGGGCGCUGCCGGUGCGGCCGCGCGGCGGGGCCGGGCAGGGAGGCGCGCGCUGCGCUGUGCCCAUCUGUUUCGUUUUACGGAGCGGAUAAAGAAGAACUCCAAGAAUGAGAUUAUUGGGGAGGCCGGCGAGCUACGGAGGAGCCCGAGCACCACAGCCGUGCCGCCGCCGCCUCCCAGCCCCUCGCCCAGAUCAAAUCCUGCACGAGCACCGAGCUGGCAGCCGAGGUGCAGCAGCGCCAGUGCCGGGGCUGGAUGGGGAGCGCCGCGUUUCUCCCCCCCCCCGGCC